UGAGGCAUGGUGUAGGGUACACAGCCUCCUAAAUAUGAAAAGUCGAUGAGGCAGUCCGGGGUUCGACUCCCCGUGUCUGAA